rnacentral:rRNA from 1 species
UACAGAGGUCCCGAGCGUUGUUCGGAUUCACUGGGCGUAAAGGGUGCGUAGGCGGUCAGCACAAGUCAGUUGUGAAAUCUCCGGGCUUAACUCGGAAAGGUCAACUGAUACUGUGCGACUAGAGUGCGGAAGGGGCAACUGGAAUUCUCGGUGUAGCGGUGAAAUGCGUAGAUAUCGAGAGGAACACCUGCGGCGAAGGCGGGUUGCUGGGCCGACACUGACGCUGAUGCGCGAAAGCCAGGGGAGCGAACGGG